GGGAGAGGGAGAGAGAGACGGAGGAAAGAAGAAAAAAUUCCACUGAGUCGGCAAUCCGCGGCCCCCAGCAGCCGAGGUAGAGGAAAUAGAUGGCAUACCCUGUGCAGGUUACUUCUGCAUCCCAUAUCCCAACUGCAGCACGGCUCCCAGCUCAAGCAAAGCGCAGUACCGACUGGAGAACGCCUACAGAGAAGCAGCGGCUGCUGUGUUGCUGCCCUGGGCAAUCACUCACUGUGCUGGUGCUGCACAACUCCCUGCUCUGCUUCCCAUGACGUCCAGCCCCGGCUGAUUGCACAUACACCAACAGCUCUGCUCUGCAUGCAGGGUGAGCUGGGCCACCCCAGGGCCGAUGUGCACGAUCUGCCUGAUCCAUACCCUCCCUUCUUUGCACAAUCUCUGCCACCCGGAAUCCUUUGCAAUCCAAAGAAGGGGAAAAAAAAGGUGAUGAAAGAAAAUCCAAAGUCAAGCAAUUGCCUGGCAGGGCUCCUACUGACUCCUCACACUUCUUGCUGGGCCUCGGGGCAUGGAGCUCCCGGUGACAUCUCUCCCAGCACACACAGAGCUGCCAUACGUGCAGGGCUGGGAGCACAGGGUUGUGCCGGGGGCACGGAUGUGUCCACAGCCUCCUCUGUUUGCAGCAACAGAGACCGCAGGAAAAUAAAUAAUUGGCCCGGAUCCUCUGCAGCCACACUGCUGCGGUUCUCCACUUCAUCACUCCGAGGCUCGCAAUCCCUUCCUGAGCUGUUUAGCAUCUCUCCUCACAUUUUCACUGCUGGAGCAUUGUUGGCUUUGAUACACAUUGUGCUCUUCCCCUCAAGCGACAAGGAACAAAUGUUCGGUGCAACACAGGAAGCACCCACGGGGUGAGGAAGGAGAGCCUCAGCCUCACUAGCAGUGGCUGCUUGCUUUCACCACUCUGAGUGGGGAGAGGGCAGAGGGCAGCAGCUGGGGACAGCAGCUUGGAUUGCCAGAGGUUCUCCAUCGCAGCCUUGGGCAGGAGGACGGGCAGCGCCUGCUGCUGACAGCACAGAGCUUCCAAGGAAGGGAGGGAUGCCGGCUCUGGGCAGAGCGCCUGGCAGCAGAGAGCGGCCCUCAUGGCUCACUGUGCACUGGAAGCCUCUCAGAUGGGACAGCAGCACAUGGAGGUGAUGUUUAGAACAUGAGUGAAAGUGGAGCUUGGAAGCUGAAGUGGUUGUGGAGUGAAACCACAAGUGGAGCACCAGUGAAGUGGGGCUUGCUUGGCCAUGGCAAGGAGAUGGUAGCAUUCCCUGCUCACCUACCCACUUCUGGGCCAAGAAGGUAAAGACUGGAGAUGCACCUGAGCCAAAACUGCUGCCAAACAUUGCUUGUGUGUCCCGGCACAGCACACCACAAUUCAGCUCUGCUGGAGAUGUCACUACAGCUGACACAGUACCGAUGCAGUGCAAGAUGUGGACCUUCUCCUAAAGAAACUGAAGCCCACAGCAGCAUGCAGACAGCAGCAGUAGGGAUUUCUGCUCCUUGGUGAGAUGCCUUGGGGCCAAAUACCACUAUGCGUACUGUGAUAUGUACCAAAUUUUGCUGCUAUAUUGACUGACACUUGCUUAUAGAACAAGACUCCCAUUUGUGCGAGGCCCCAACUGCUGUGCUCCCGUGUGCUCACAUUGCUGACAACACCUUUCUCAUACACUUACAUCCAUAAGAGAGGACUUUUGUUUCUCUUUUCCUCCGUUUCAUUGCAUCUUUCAUGACUUCCCUGGGUUGCUGGUACUGCUUUGUGCAAGAGACAAAUGCCUGGCAAACGUUUGGGUACUGCUGGCUGUUGGCGCAUUGCAAUGUCAGGAAGAUUUCUGGGCAAGGGGAAAAAAAAGAAGAAGCAAAAAUCGCACCCAGCUGGAACGCCUUCCCAGAAUGCCUGUCUCUUCUCAAGACAGACAGGGCUUGGACGGAACAGAUGUUUCCACCCAAAAGCAGAUGUGGAGAUGUUACUUUCCCAGGGAGGAAAUGUGGUGGGGUUUAUUAUUAACCAACAGCCCCCAUCUGACAGCUUCCCUUGACCAACAGUUGGAAAAUCUGGAAAAAAAACACCGCCGUUGAAGCCAAGUGGUGGCAGGAAGCAGCCAGCCCUGAUGGACUCGCUUGAUUUAUUGUUAUUAAUUACAACCCGGAAAUGACCAACAACAUCUGGGAGAGCCAAACAUGGAAGGGAAAGCAAGCUGAGCACGGGGGCCAAAUUUGUCAUUCCGUGAUGGCCUGAGCACAGUGCUGAGCUUCGGGAAAGGCAGCUGCAGAGUUGUGAGCAGCAUCUGUAGGGCUGCAGGGAGCGGCCAGCAGGGGAAGGGGAACACCGACCCAAACCCAAACCCAAACCAAAUGCAGCGAAUGGGAACAGAAACUCUUUGGAACAGCCAAGUGUCUCAAUGAAGGCAGGAGGCAGACUCCUCCCUGGGGGCAGCUGCUAAGCUCAGGUGUUGCACCAAGCACCAGCUCCUGGAUUCCAGCAAGGAAAUGCUCCCUCGUGCUUCACCUGCCGUGAAAAAACUGCUGGUGUUAAACCUGACUGCGUUCUCUUUGGGAUUUUAAAGUCCUUUUCAAAGGGGAGCCACAGAUUCACCGUGCCCUCUUCACCUCUGCAGAUAUAUUGGUAGAAAUUGAACCUGAAUGGGUUAUUUCCACCCCCUGCUCUUUUCCUUAAUUCGUUUCGUAAGGCACACACUGCAAAAACCAACUGUGGGAAGGUGAGGAGAAGUGCCCCAUAAUUGAGAACAAUACCUCCAAGGGGCUUUUCCAAUGAGGUGCAGAUUUCUCAGGCAUGCAUUUUCUGAGCUGCAGUCAGUAUAAUGAAGUCCAGAACUUUUAGGUUUCCCCUUUAAUAUAUCCAUCAUGUCUAGAUCCAUUAUUGACAUGUUGACUUUCUUGUUUCUGAUUUAAACUGCCAGACUCAGUAAAAUUGCCUUGACAGCUUUAACAUUUGUGGCAGAACACUGACAUGAUGUUACUUACAGCUAAUUAAAGUUGAGAGCAUAAUAAACAAGCUCGGGAUCCUAGCAACCUAAUUUCCUCGGGUAUUGAGUUUGCUGGAUCUUGAGCGGAGUUGUUUGAAGC
ensembl:lncRNA